UUUCACUGUCAGACACCCUGUGUCUGUUAGUGUGUAGGUACAGCUAAAAAAAAAAACUAAGAGAGAACAAUUCUUCCCACUUAGCAUCUGUGAAGUUUGUUCUUGGUUUGGGAUGGCACUCAUUAAUUUAAGAGGCUGGUACAUAAGAAAAGUGCCAGGCUGAAGAGCAUGUGAAACCAAUCCCAUCGAUGGAGGAGGGGCCCCAGGAGUUUGGAAUCUUGAGGAGGAGAAGAUUCUGGCUGUGAGAGGAUUUGGCCUCUCAGUCUUGAGAAGCCAAAGACAGAAGGUGGGAAAAGACUUUCUCCUGAGGGUUACCCGCUUUUCCUGCUGGUGACUGGAAAUCUUUCCCCCCAACACUUCCCAAUUGAAGGGACUUUCUGAGGAGAAACCUGAGCAGACUUUACCUCAGCUCCUGUUGCCCAGGGGUUGACAUGGUGCCUGACGCACUGAAAAUUGAAUACAUUUGGUGAUUAAGCCACAGGUAUCCUCUGCAUGAACAAUAUAUUCAACACAACAAAAGGAAAAAGGCUAAAGAACUACAAGAAAUUGGUAUAUUCUAAAUAAAUGUUAGUAUAACUGAUCCAAAAUAAGACAAGUUAGGUGCUUAUUUUGCAUGUAGAAGAAUAUUUUUACUUCUAGGAUGAGAAAAUAACUAGCUUUAAAAAAUUCUCAAAAUAAUUUUAAUUCACUUUAAUAAAAAAUAAACAGAUCAUUCAGCAUCUGGGAAAGGUUAUGAAAUCAAACAAAUAAGAAAGAUGAUUCAAGAUCAGCAAUUAUAGUUCUAUAGUUCAUUUUUAAAAGCUGA